UGUGCCACUCCUCCGAGAGUUGCUCGAGUGUCUGUUCCCUGAGGUUUAUGGUAGGUUUCGCGAGCUGCAGUGCCGAGGACUCAUCUGCCUGACAUAUGGUCUCAUAAAAAGUCCCCUGCCUCCGUCCUGCCUAGGUAUAUAGAGCCUACUCACCGAGGAAUGGGGAUGAUGAACACCAAAUCUAGUCAGCAGCUUUCUUGUCUGUACAUCCACCGCCUGCAGCUCCGUAGAUGUCCAGCGCACAACUCCGAAUGAAUAGCUGAUACAAGGUUCUCGCACAGUGUUUUCAAUUUCUCCCUGCGGUCAGGUGCCAGUGCUGGGAUAUGGUGUUCAAAGCAUAUUUUCCGAACUGCUUUAUGGACCUUCUUUGAUACGGACUCAUUAUUCAGGUAUGUAUGUAAUGAUCCGAUUUUCUUUCUGAUCUUAUUUAUAUUUCUUUCUAGACGAGU